UGAUUGUCGUUCUCUUCCAUAUUGGUUUCAGAAGUGUACGGAGCUCACGGGUUAUAAUCCGUAGCAAUCGAGGAAUUCUAGAUUCAUCUAGUUUCCUCCAACCGUAAUAAUGAGAGCAAAGUGGCGUAAGAAGCGUAUGCGGAGGCUAAAGCGUAAAAGGAGGAAGAUGCGUGCAAGGUCUAAGUAAACUGGCAUCUUCAAUUCUUCGAUCGACCAAUUUUCCAGUUCAGACUAUUCAGAACACCUGAAGCCUCAGCAUUUUAUACAUCUUGGAUA